rnacentral:rRNA from 1 species
GACGAACGCUGGCGGCGUGCUUAACACAUGCAAGUCGAACGGAAAGGCCCUGCUUUUGUGGGGUGCUCGAGUGGCGAACGGGUGAGUAACACGUGAGUAACCUGCACUUGACUUUGGGAUAACAUCAGGGAACUGGGGCUAAUACCGGAUAGGAGCUCCUGCUGCAUGGUGGGGGUUGGAAAGUUUCGGCGGUGGGGGAUGGACUCGCGGCUUAUCAGCUUGUUGGUGGGGUAGUGGCUUACCAAGGCUUUGACGGGUAGCCGGCCUGAGAGGGUGACCGGCCACAUUAGUACUGAGAUACGCACCAGACUCCUACGGGAGGCAGCAGUGGGGAGUAUUGCACAAUGGGCCGAAGCCUGAUGCAGCAACGCCGCGUGCGGGAUGACGGCCUUCGGGUUGUAAACCGCUUUCGCCUGUGACGAAGCGUGAGUGACGGUAAUGGGUAAAGAAGCACCGGCUAACUACGUG